rnacentral:rRNA from 1 species
UACGGAGGGGGUUAGCGUUGUUCGGAAUUACUGGGCGUAAAGCGCGCGUAGGCGGACUAUUAAGUCAGGGGUGAAAUCCCGGGGCUCAACCCCGGAACUGCCUUUGAUACUGGUUGACUUGAGUCAUAUGGAAGUAGAUAGAAUGUGUAGUGUAGCGGUGAAAUGCGUAGAUAUCUGAAGGAACAUCAGUGGCGAAGGCGACUGUCUGGACCAAAACUGACGCUGAGGUGCGAAAGCGUGGGUAGCAAACAGG